GGAGGGUGCAAGCGUUAAUCGGAAUUACUGGGCGUAAAGCGCACGCAGGCGGUCUGUCAAGUCGGAUGUGAAAUCCCCGGGCUUAACCUGGGAACUGCAUUCGAAACUGGCAGGCUGGAGUCUUGUAGAGGGGGGUAGAAUUCCAGGUGUAGCGGUGAAAUGCGUAGAGAUCUGGAGGAAUACCGGUGGCGAAGGCGGCCCCCUGGACAAAGACUGACGCUCAGGUGCGAAAGCGUGGGGAGCAAACAGGAUUAGAUACCCUGGUAGUCCACGCCGUAAACGAUGUCGACUUGGAGGUUGUUCCCUUGAGGAGUGGCUUCCGGAGCUAACGCGUUAAGUCGACCGCCUGGGGAGUACGGCCGCAAGGUUAAAACUCAAAUGAAUUGACGGGGGCCCGCACAAGCGGUGGAGCAUGUGGUUUAAUUCGAUGCAACGCGAAGAACCUUACCUACUCUUGACAUCCAGAGAACUUAGCAGAGAUGCUUUGGUGCCUUCGGGAACUCUGAGACAGGUGA
rnacentral:rRNA from 1 species